rnacentral:rRNA from 1 species
UUUUAAUGUUAUUUUUUAUUGUUAUUUUUGUUAAAUGUUUUGUUUUUUUUUUUUGUUUUGUAUAAUUGGGAAAAUUUGGGGGGUGAACCGGAUUAGUACCCGGGUAAACAAAAUUUAUUAAUACGGGGGUAAAGUUGAAUUUAAACCGAAAAAAUAUUGACCGGCUCUAAAUUUUUCUUUGGAACAUGUUUGUAAUCGGARAGUCCUCUUUUAUAGUAAUUUUUUUUGGUUCAWGUAUGAUUGUUGUUUUUUCCCUAUAUUGGGGAUUGUUUUUUUUUUUUUGCUUAUUAGACAGAUAGAUAUUUGGCUUAUGUAGUUGUUUAUUAUGUGUUACGAUACUUUAAGGUUCGGAUUAAUUGGUUAUUUAAUUUAUGAAGUUGGAAAAGAUAGUAAUAGUUUUU